AUCCAGUUGACGAGUCCCAAAUGGGAUGACACUCGAGACCUGGAU
rnacentral:hammerhead_ribozyme from 1 species